ACAAGAUGAAUGCAUUAUGAAUUUCUGUACUCCAGCAGAUAUACAAAGUAAUGAUAUUGUCACCUCUGCAGCCUGUCUUGAUUUACACAGUUCACCUUUAUUUUUGUCUAAUUCAGUGGUGCACCCAUGGUGACCCCUUGCCCUCCUGAUACAAUUGCCUGCCCUCCCUGGCAAAAAUAAUUGAAGGCUGAUAUAACUGUCUUAAAAGCCUGUGGCAUGGUAAUUUUUUUAAGCUAGCACAAAGGUAGUAAAGUCUUGUCAAACUAGACAACCUAAGACAUCCAUUGGUAUUAACCAUGUUAGCAUAGCUUGUCUCCUCACAAUAUUUGAAUGAAAGUGGGUGACGUGGGUACCCACGAGUCUCCCCUAAACUUAAGAAGGCUCGUUCCCAGGAAAUUUUUUGUUCCUUACAAUCAAUGUACUCAUUCAAAUUAAAGCCACAUAUUUGUCUUUUAAAGAAAAAGGACAUCCAGCCUAUUUAAAGAACGAUUAAUAGCCUAAGAUGUGUAUAUAUACAAGACACAUUAAAACAGGAGAAACCAAAGUGUAUCAGUUUGUAGUAGAGAUGGGGACUCGAGUCAUUGUGACUUGGACUCGAGUCGACUCAAGUCGCUGUUUUGAUGACUUGUGACUUGACUUGACAAAAAAUAAAAGACUUGAGACUUGACUCAGAUUUGGAAGUUAAAGACUCGGGACUUGACUUGACUUGAAUGACUUGAGUGUUAUUCACAUCAUGUUUUCGGUUAGAAUAUAAAAUUAAUAAAUUAAUUUAAAAAAUAAUGUCGAUUACCGGGUAGGAGCGCAGGCUGAGAAUGGCAUUGUCAUGAUUGGAUCACUACCCUGUCAAUCAGUCAUGCCCUCUCUACGUACCUUACGUGUUUAUUGGAGAAACAGGCCCUCUUAUAUCAGAUAGGCAUCUACAUGUCAGCGGGAGGGGUACCAAGAGUCAUCAUCUUUGGCUUUCGGAAUUACCAUUAUUACGGCAAAAGACGAACAGCACAGUGCAAGACAUGCGGCAUAAACAUCUCGGACAGUCAGGCGACAACUUCAAACUUUGUUCGUCAUUUGAAGAGCCAUUCUGCCCAAGCCGUUCAAGUUUCCUUGGGGUGGAGAUGAUGAUGAUGAUCUCAGUGCGUUAGCAGGAUCCUGCAGCUGACAGAUGAAAACCUUAAAAAACAAACACAACUGCAAGUGACACCCUGAUGAAGUUCCUCUCUCAUGUGCCAACCUGCUCGGGAAUAAAAGAUAACUGGAAAAUAUGGAGCCAUUAAAGAGAACAAAGGAAAGUGCAUGAGACGACAUGACAUCUUCACCUUCACCACUAAUGUAACAAGCAGAUGUAGCCAAAUAACUCCCCGAAGUCCAUUUAUUUACCUUUGCAAAUGCAAACAGUUACCAGCAUCUCUGAUGAACGGGUAAAACAAACGUGUCUAUCAGUCAACAGCCUA